rnacentral:lncRNA from 1 species
UUGUUUAGAGUGUGUUUGGCACCUCAUUCGAGUCCACCUGUGUAGGAUUGGACCCGAGGGACCGAGGAGGCCAUCAGUGUUAGCAGUUGCAGAGUCAGUCCAGCGUCUGCCAGAGGUGAGUAGAACUAAACUUAAUCUUUUAUUUUACGAAAUCAAAUGCCUAAAGCAUGUUCAUGCAUCAUGUUUAUAUGUAAUAGGUUGAUUGCACUAGUUACACGAAUAUGAUGCAUUGCAUUAUUUACUGUUGAUGUGGAUGGACCAAGGCGACCCCAAUGGCCCACGAUCUAUCAUGAUAAGAGAAGUCCUGUGGAGCUCUUUUGAGGGCCGGGCACCAUGUAUAAAGUCCUGUGUGAGCUCCUUCGGGGGCCGGACACCAUGUUAUGUAAUGAAAGUCCUGUGUGAGCUCCUUUGGGGGGCCGGGCACCGACAGAGGGAGCUUUGGAGGUCAUGUCCAAUCUGUGAUGUGAAUUGUUUGUGCUGUGGCGCAUUUCAUGAAAGCAUGUAAUUAAUGAACUAUUUUCAUUGUUUCUACUCACUGGGCUUUUUAGCUCACCCCUCUCCCCUAACCCCAGUGUUGCAGGUAUGAGGUCGAUCGGGAAGUCUCAAGAGUCAAGGUUAUGCUUAUGUAAUAGAUUAGUGUUAGUGUGGACAUGUAAUGUAAACUGAGAUAAUGAAUUGUAAGAUAAUGUAAUGUAACGUAAUGUAAAGUAGAGAUUUGUUUAUGGAUUAGUGCUGUGCUUGGCCCUAAGACUUGGUUAGUCCCUGUUUAGUACAUGAUGUAUGUAAUGUUUUAAAUGUUGAGUUGUGUUUGAACUAAACUUGUGGCAUGUGUUGUUGACUAUGCUAGAGUAUUUGAUGAGGACUCUAGUGGAGGUCUUAUGUUUGUGGUUUGAUGCAUGCACAGGUUAGGUUCUAGUUCUUUGGAUGUGAUCCCAGCUUGAUGUAUGUUAUGUUGACCCAGCUAGAGUUUUGAUGAGGGCUCUAGCAGGGGGGUUCUUUUAUGUUUCCAGGUAUGUCGCAUACAGGUCAAGCUCGGUCUAUACAUCACAUGUUACAGUUUUUAUGUUUAUGUUUGAUCAUGUAUGGGAUUUGACCAGGUGAUAGGAUGUAUGUUAUGCUUGCUACGGGUCCCGGCGGCCUUAAGCCGAUUUGGAUCCUAGCGCCGGUAGCGGUUCGGGCCGUUACAGAGGGGUAUCGGUUUCCGAGUCGUUACAAUGAGAGCUAGAGGCACACCUCAUCUGAAAGAGGAGAAUCUAAUCAUGUUACUUCAUGAGUACAUGGAAAAAGUAGGAUGGGUUAUGACCAAAUCAAAAGGAGUGCUACACUUUCUACUCAAUGCAGUUGGGACUCUUUUCCCUUCCCCAAUUACUUGAGCCUUGAUCAAGUGGAUCGCACCAUGCACACCACACCCAGGGUGUAAUACCCGGCUAGACUCCGGUAUCAGAAUUCCUACCGUCCGGUGGAAUCUCGGAUGUCAAAAACUUCUAGAAGGGUAAAAUCAUGUUUUAUGAAAUGAUUUAAUGUAUUUUAUGAUUUUAAGUAAAAAAGGAAAUUGAGUUUUUAAUGAAAAUAGCCUUGGAGGAAGAUUCAGGUUCGGCCGCCGCACGUGCAUGCGCUUCGGGAGUGCUUUAGGCCCCCGAAGGCAUAAGUGAGGGAAGUCCAGGUUCGGCCGCCGAACCUUAUGUUUGGCCACCGAACAUGGCAUGCAUGCGGAGGCACGUUAGGCCCCCGAAAGUGGCCUGGCCAGCCACCUAUAAAGGGGUCCCCAUGUCCGAACAGGCGAGCUUUUCUCCCCAUUUUUGGCCAAAGUAACUCUCCGCCGCCCUCAUACCGAUCUUGAGUUCUUCCUUUAAAUCUUUCAUGAUUUCUUAUGAGUUUUAACUUGGUUUUGAAGAUUUCAAGCUUAGAUCGAAGUUGUGAAGCUUGGAGACCUCAGGAAUCCAUCUUCCCCAAAUCUCCAAGUUAGGUCACACUCUCUCUCGAUCUUCAAAAGGUAAGAGUCGAUCUUUAACUCAUUAUAUGUUUUAAACGAGUUUCAUGAAGAUUUAUGGGGUAGAAAUGCAUGUUAGGUUAUUUUUGAGUUCAUGGGUUUAUGUUGAGUUAUUGUGCAAUGUGGGUUGUUUAUGUGUGUUUGAUGUGUUGUAGUUGGGGUUUAGGAUAGUUUGAAACCCCUAGGAGCUAUUGUAUGUGUUUAUGCAUGUUGUGGUUGAGUUGUGAAGUUUGGGAGGCAUUUGUGCAUGAGUUGAUGCUGAGUUCUGCCUUUGGGAGAACUCAGGUUCGGCAGCCGAAUGGACUUUCGGCCGCCGAACCUACCUGUGGAGGCCAACUUUUGGCUGCCGAACCCUGCCCCCGAAAGUGGACUUUCGGCUCUGGAAGGGAGUUUCGGCCGCCGAAGGUGCCGCCGAACAUGCAUGAGUUUCGUCUCUAGAGGGAACCUUCGGCCACCGAAAGUGCCGCCGAAGGUGCAUGACUUUCAGCUCUGGAGGGACUUUCGCCCGUCGAACCUGCCGCCGAAAGUGCCCUGUCCAGGCUUCCUUUGCAUGAUUUUUGUGAUUGUUUUAAGGUGUUUUAGGGGGUUUUUGGGGAGUAUCUUAAAGUCAUAUUUAUGUAUGUUUGGUCCCUCAUUUGAGUCCACCUGUGUAGGUUCGAACCCGAGGAACCGAGGACCCCAGCAGUGAGUCAGCUGCUUCAGUGUCUGUCAGAGCUAGCCAGAGGUGAGUGGAAUAAAUCUCUAUGUUUUCAAAGCGAAUAAUGAAAGUUUAGCAUGAUUCACGCAUCAUGAGUGCCAUGAGUUAUAUAGGGUGCUUGCAUUAGAAUUCACGAAUAUGUUGCAUUGCAUAUUAUGUUGUUGAUGUGGAUGAAUGUUGAAUGAUCCAUUAGCCCUCACACGUUAUGACAUGAUGUUAUGAUAUGGAAGCCCAGGCGUGCCUGCACUACGCUCCUGGCACUAUGUAAGAGGAAGUCCGGGCGAGCCUGCACUACGCCCCCGGCACUAUUGGAUAUGUAUGUUAUGCUAUGGAAGUCCAGGCGUGCCUGCACUACGCCCCUAGCAUGAUUAGAUUGUAUGGAGGGUUAAAUGGUGAAAAGUUCAUCCUUGAUAUGAAUUAUUUGUGCUGUGACGCAUUCCAUGUUAUCAUAUGUUUUAAAUACUAUGUUUUAUUAUUCUGCUCACUGGGCUCUAGUAGCUCACCCCACUCCCUUAACCCCAGGUUUGCAGGUACGGGUUAGACCAGGAGGUCAGCUAGAGUAAAGUCAUGGUUAUGUAAUAGCUAGUGGUGGACAUGAUAAAUAUUGUAAUGUAAUGUUCAGUUCAGUAAUGUAAUGAAUAGUAUUGAAUAAUUAUGUAAUGAAAUGAUGUUAUUGAGGAUCAGAGUGGUGCUUGACCCUAGUAUGUGGUUUAUCCCUUUUAAUACAUGAUCUUUCAAUUGUAAUGGUUUAAUGAUAUUUUAUGAAAACCAAACUUAAUGUAUGAUGAAUGUUUCCCAUUGGAGCAUAGUUGAGGACUCCAAUGUGGGGAAUGAUGAUUAUGAGUUAUGCAUGCACAGGUUGAGUUUGGAAAUUGAAUGAGAAAUGGUUCAAAUUUUUAUGUAUGUGUUGAUCAUGUAUGGGAUUUAUCAGGUUUUCAGGUUUUAUGUUAGGCUUGCUACGAGUCCCGGCGGCCUUAAGCCAACUCGGAUCCUAGCGCCGGUAGCGGUUCGAUUUUCGGGUCGUUACACAGGGGAGUACUCAGUUUCUUUUGUGUUUUAAUAUUUCCUAUACAUUGAGGACAAUGCAUGAUUUAGGUGUGGGUGUAAUAUCCGGCUAGAUUCCGGCAUCGGAAUCCCUAUCUUCCGGCGGAAUCUCCGUUGGAAUCUGGAAUUUGAUGAUGCUAGAGUCUUCUAGAGGGGUAAAAUGUGUUUCUAAAAUGUUUUCACAUGAUUUUAUGGUUUUAAAUGGAAAAAGAAUUGAGUUUUGAAAAGAAAAGAUCAAAGAGGCAUUUGCCAGGUUCGGCCACCGAAAGUGAAGUUCGGCCGCCAAACAUGGGAAGGUUUUGGGAGCACUUUUGGCCUCCGAAAGCUUUGUUUGAGCGAACCAAGGUUCGGCCGCUGAACAUGCAUGAGUUUAGAGGGCACGUUAGGCUGCCGAAGGUCGUUGACCAGGCCACCUAUAAAGAGCUCUCAGAUCGGAAAUGGGCGAGUUUUCUCCACAUCCUCGAGCUCAGGUGAGUUUAUACUCUCCUUUGGUCGUUUUUCAUGCUUUCUCUAUCAAUUCCUCAAGUUUUCAUGAGUUCUACCCUUAUUUUGAAGUUUUGAAGCUUAAAUAGGAAUUUUGGGAGCUUGGAGGCUUUUGGAGCUUGGAUCCUCCACACCUCCGAGUUAGGGAUCGCACCACCCCUCGAUCUUUAAGAGGUAAGUGUAGAUCCUUAUUUUCCUUGUAUUUUAAUGAAGUUUUAAGUAAGUUUAAAGAUGUUUUGAUGGUUGAGUAUGGGUAGAUAUGCAUGUUAAGGUUUAUGUGGGUUUUAUGCCCAAUGUAUGUUAUGUGAUGUUUGUGUUGAGGAGUUUAUGUUAGUUUAUGCUCCUUUAUGCAGGUGGGAGAGUGUAUGCAUGAUUGGGAGAGAGCAAGUGAGGUUUUGAGUAGUUUUGAUGGUUUUGGCUUAUGUGGGUCAUAAGCUAUUUAUGUAUGCUUUAUGAUGUUCUUUGUUGGAGUUUAAGCUUGUUUAAGCUCCUUUGUGCAUGGUUAAGGGUUUAUGCAUGUUUUUAAAAGGUUGGGUACUUGUUUGGGGUGUUUGGAAGGCUUGGGAGGCUUGUAUGCAUAAGAGGCUGAGUUCUGGAUGAACUCAGGUUCGGCCGCCGAAGGUAGUUUCGGCCGCCGAACCUGCCUAUGGAUGCAUGGAUUGGCCGCCUAACCUUGCCCUCGAAAGUUGUGUUUCGGAUCUGGAGCAGACUUUCAACUGCCAAAGGUGAUGUUCGGCCGCCGAAAGUGCCUGACUUUAGGAUUUGAAGAGAGGGUUCGGCCGCCGAAGGUGCCCCCGAACCUGCAUGGCUUUCGGAUCUGGACGGGACAUUUGGCCGCUGAAAGUGCCCUGUCCAGCCCUUUCAUGGUUGUUUUCUAUGUAUGUUUAAGUGAUGUUUAGAGGGGUUUUUGGGUAGUUGUUUAUGAGUUGUUUAGAGUGUGUUUGGCACCUCAUUCGAGUCCACCUGUGUAGGAUUGGACCCGAAGGACCGAGGAGGCCAUCAGAGUUAGCAGUUGCAGAGUCAGUCCAGCGUCUGCCAGAGGUGAGUAGAACUAAACUUAAUCUUUUAUUUUACGAAAUCAAAUGCCUAAAGCAUGUUCAUGCAUCAUGUUUAUAUGUAAUAGGUUGAUUACACUAGU